rnacentral:rRNA from 1 species
GACACGACUCUCGGCAAUGGAUAUCUCGGCUCACACAUCGAUGAAGAGCGCAGCGAAAUGCGAUACGUGGUGCGAAUUGCAGAAUCCCGUGAACCAUCGAGUCUUUGAACGCAAGUUGCGCCUGAGGCCAACCGGCCAAGGGCACGUCUGCCUGGGCGUCAAGC